rnacentral:rRNA from 1 species
ACUGAUUUAAAGAUCAGUUAGUCCACCAUAGUUUUUCUUUACGGAAAGAUAAUGAGAUGGCUCCCUGUGCUCUGAUUGAUUUUUUGUAUUAUGAUCUAUCUAGGAGCAAUACCAAAGUGUUUCAAAGGAGGAUUACCUUGACUUAGGUCUGCCUCCGGUCUAAAUUAAAUCAACCUAAGUGAAAUGGAGUCUCUAUCGUUCCACUUCAAGAGUUAACUAUGAGACUUCAUACACCUUAAAGUUCAUAGAACGAAAAGAAGUUUUUUGGAGGCCCUUAUCCUCAUUACGCCUAGCAUUUAGUGGGCUGGAUAUUUACCUUAUCAACUAGCAAAUCCAUAAGGGUUCUAUUUGAUUAGGCACCUGAAUCGGACUGAACCGACUGUUUGUCAGGCUACUGUUCUCCUAUUCUCUCGAAUCUAUGAAGUAAGACAUUGAUUUUGCAAUAAGAUCGAUUAUGUUCAUUGCAUAAUAAGCUCCUUUGAAAAGCAUUGGCGCACGUGUAAACGAGUUGCUCUACCGAACUGAGCUAUAGCCCUUAUCAGAGAUAUCUUAACAUAUAGAUAAUUUCUUGUCAAGAUGAAUAUUUUCUAAUGCCAGAGGAUACCCCUUUGAUCUGUAUCUGUUUAGUAUUUAGUUUAGUAUUUAGUAUAUAACAGAGCAAUAACAGAGCGGUAUUGCUUAGAAAAGGGAUUCAAUAUAUAAUCGAUCGAAGUAAUGGGUCUUCCUUUGUGGUGAUAAAUUGCCUACUUAACUCAGUGGUUAGAGUAUUGCUUUCAUACGGCGGGAGUCAUUGGUUCAAAUCCAAUAGUAGGUAAGUAGGUAGAAAAAUUACUAGAUAGCAUUGGACUUACUUCGCUUC